CGAUGACUAAAGGACGAGAGAGAACCAGAGGUCUCUGUGGGUCGUUGAGCACCUGCCAGGGCAGCCCGGCCAUUUGACAUGCAAGUUCUCUCUAUAAGGCUUCGACUUGUCAAGGUGUUAAGUAGGUGGAGACCCAAGCUCCCUUUCCUGGCACAGUGGAAGCCAGAGUGCAGCCUCUCCGAGUUUCCACCAGACUUCCUUAUACACAUCUCAGAGGAAAGCAGCAUCAUGAGGAACCAGGUCCUGUCCCGAACCCACUUCUCUGUCUUGGAUGGUGGACAGGAGUCUGGGCUUCCGGGUAGGACUGAUGCAGUCUUGUAUGUUGUGUCCAGCAUCGGCAGUGCUGAAGUCUGGCUGAAGAGGUAUUGCAGAGAAGUUUUGGUAUUGUUUCUGGCUGUGUAGACUCCAAAUCUGGCUCUCUGACCCUCCUGGGGUUUCACAAGUUAUUUAAUAUCCCUUAAUAAAUACCUUCCUGCUUAAACAAGCUGAUGUGACUUCCAU
rnacentral:lncRNA from 1 species